UCAUAAACAAACUGCAACAUAUGUCCGCUUUCUACUGCAUCGUCACUUUUUCUUUGCAUUUUCACUUUGUUUGAUGUGUAAUUUGCCCCAAAACUCAGAGAAAGUGGCGCGUUUCUGAUGGGGAGAUACAAGGGCUGUCCCCGGAUGGAGGAUUAUUGUGUCAUAUUUUAACCCUUUAGUGCCCGCCCUCAAAUGAGACUGCGCUGCCCAGUUGACCUGAAACGGUUUGAGUUAAACACAUAUGACCUUUAGUUUCACCCUUGACGGCCAGCCAAGGUCAAAGAUUAUGGGACCAACUUCAUAUUAUCAUCAACUAGUUUGACCUUUCAAGGUCACCAAAGGUUUUGUGAUAUAUGACUUCAAAUUAGUGUUUAAUCGCAACCUCAGUAUGUAUAUAAUUGACUUUGACAACAUCAAAUCACUUUGUCCUUGGAUGACCCAAGUUUGGGCCAAUUUGGACUCAAACUCUUCAAGUUAUUUUGUUCAUAGACUUGGACACAGGACCAAAAACACAAUGCUGUUCAAAGUGGGUCCAACAAAAACAACUCUCAGAUUACUAAGAAUCUGUUUUUGUGUGUUGUUGCCAUAUCUUCUGUCUCUCAGUAACUGUAUGGGCGACUGUGGGUGUGUCAUAAUCAGGAAGCCGAGUGUUGACUGUUACAUAUGUCACGGCUGUCUAAAACAAGCCAUUUCAGGCUGAAAAGUUUUCUUGCAGCAGCAGAAUUUGUACAAACACAGUAAUAAAACUGCAGGACUUCACUGAUAUUUAACAUAAACCUCCCCUCCUCCCCAGAAAAUAUGUAACUCCAUAAGGCAGAUAAAAACUGUUAUUUCACCAUAUGACCCCUUUAAAUCUGGGAGAGAAAUAAAAAAGAUGGCGUGAAUGCGGUACAGAGCUAUGUAAAUUCCUUUUUUAAAAAGUCGAGUUACGCGAAAACAGUGUUUAACGUCGACAAUAAGGUAUCUGUGAAGAAAUGCCAAUGUUAAUAUUUAUUCUUUUAAUGAAAAUAAACUGCCAAAAUGGAAUAAUGACCGUGCUGUUAUUACAUAAAGGGGCAGCUGCAGUGGAAGUGCAAUAAAUGUGAUUGAAAACAAAGUUUGAACUGUCAUGUUUGAAUAAUCAAUCAAAAACACUCUGUUGAUAUAAUGUGUUCACACGAGCAAGAUUCACAGGGAAAAAAAAAAAAAUCCUUCACCUGAAGUUCAAGAUGGACAGAUUUUGAGAGAGAUGAAAAGAAAUCCGGGUACUUUUCAAACAUGCCGUGGAUGCUAUCUUACUGAAUCUUGCUCUUGGGUUCUCUGACAGUAUUGGUGGAAAAUUGUGUAUAUCUUGUUUAAAAACAAUUAAUUAAUACUUUAAUAAACUGUCCAUUUGUGCAGACUUU